rnacentral:tRNA from 1 species
AAGGCUUUAAGUUAAAUAAACUGUUAGCCUUCAAAGCUGUAAAUAUAGGAUUAUCCUUUAAGCCUUA